ensembl:lncRNA
AUGCCUCUUUCUAGUAAGGAGAGGGGUGCACGUUUCCGUGCAAAGCAAAGGGCAGAUCCUGCAGCUAGAGAGGAGAACCUAGCUAAGAGGAGGGAAAGGCAACGGCAGAGGAAACAAGCUGGACAGGGUGAUUAUUAUCGUGCUGUCAAAGAGUUGACAGUAGCUGCACAUGCAAAGAGGACGGAACAGUGGAGGCUCAACCAGAGACGAUGCAGAGAGAAAAAGAGGCAGGUGGAGGCAUUGAUGAAUCUGACACCAGUGUCUGAGGACUCUUUUGUGGACGAACACCAUGACCAUCCUGGGCCGUCUCAACACUCCUCACCACCUGGGCCGUCUCAACACCCCUCACCACCUGGGCCGUCUCAACACUCCUCACCACCUGGGCCACACUGUUCAACUCCUCAUAAACCCCUAAAGAAAACAACCUCCAGCAGUCGAACAAGGGUACGUAUAAAGAAACUGAGAGAGGAGAUAAAACAGCUAAAAAAGGAUGUUGUAAGAGAAAAGAGAAGAGCAGAUAGAUUUCGCAAGAAAGCCAACAGGGUGAUGACAGCAAAAUACAGAAAAGCAAGAAAAAACAUGUCAACAAAGGUUUUCAGGAAGGGGCCAGCAAGAAGACAGAGUGUGGUGGAGUUCCUCACUAGAGAUGAGAACAGCCGUCUCCUAGCUGGAAAAAAGGACACAGUAUCAAAGGUUAGGGUCAAAGAACAGCGUCGGGUGUUGACAAAGUCUUUAAAAGAGCUUCAUAAAGACUACAAUGCAGAGGCAGGAGAGGGACGGGCAGUGUCAUACCGGCAGUUUGUCCGCCUCUGUCCAUUUUAUGUAACUGAGCCAAAGGCUAUUGACCGAAACACCUGUGCCUGCCUAGACCAUGAGAAUGUAAGCCUUCUACUCGAGAAACUACACCAGAGUGGCCUUGUUACCAGUAGAAGUACUUCUGAAGCACUCGCGCACAUUGUGUGCGAUUUGAAAAGUAGGGCGUGUAUGUUUAGGCUGUGUGCGAAGUGCUGCUAUAACGAUAUGGAGCUACUCCUACCAGACAAAACCCGCCAGGUGUCAUGGAGUCAAUGGGAGAGGGAGAAGGUCUGCACUGAAGGUAAAACCUAUUCACAUUUUGUGAAGAAAACUCUGACUGGGACGUGGGAGGAUCUCAUGAAGAGUUUCAAUGAAAAAUGAAAAGGCGCGCCAGAUG